GAUGAACGCUGGCGGCGUGCCUAACACAUGCAAGUCGAGCGAUGAAACCGCCUCCGGGCGGACAUGAAGCGGCGAACGGGUGAGUAACACGUGACCGACCUGCCCCCCGCCCAGGGACAGCCCCCCGAAAGGGGGAUUAAUACCUGGUACUCCGGCAAGGAAGCAUGUCCUGGCCGGGAAAGCCUUGGCGGCGGGGGAUGGGGUCGCGGCCCAUCAGGUAGACGGCGGGGCAGAGGCCCACCGUGCCGACGACGGGUAGCCGGGUUGAGAGACCGACCGGCCACAUUGGGACUGAGAUACGGCCCAGACUCCUACGGGAGGCAGCAGUGGGGAAUUUUGCGCAAUGGGGGCAACCCUGACGCAGCAACGCCGCGUGCGGGACGAAGGCGUCCGCGUCGUAAACCGCUUUCAGCGGGGAACACUUCAACGAGGGUACCCGCAGAAGAAGCCCCGGCUAAAUACGUGCCAGCAGCCGCGGUAAGAC
rnacentral:rRNA from 1 species